rnacentral:rRNA from 1 species
GCUUGUCUCAAAGAUUAAGCCAUGCAUGUCUAAGUAUAAACUGCUUAUACUGUGAAACUGCGAAUGGCUCAUUAAAUCAGUUAUAGUUUAUUUGAUGGUACCUUCUACUCGGAUAACCGUAGUAAUUCUAGAGCUAAUACGUGCGUAAAACCCGACUUCUGGAAGGGUCGUAUAUAUUAGAUAAAAGGCCGACCGAGCUUUGCUCGACCCGCGGUGAAUCAUGAUAUCUUCACGAAUCGCACGGCCUUGUGCCGGCGAUGUUUCAUUCAAAUUUCUGCCCUAUCAUGGUUGAGAUUGUAAGAUAGAGGCUUACAAUGCCUACAACGGGUAACGGGGAAUUAGGGUUCGAUUCCGGAGAGGGAGCCUGAGAAACGGCUACCACAUCCAAGGAAGGCAGCAGG